GGGUGGAGUCCGUCCGUAAGUCCGUCCGUCGUGAAGAAUCCGGUCGACGCUGGUGGGAGUUUAUCCAUCGGUAAAACUUGAGAAUGUCGAGGAGGCUCGGCCGCCGGAGAGGGGACGUCGUCGAAGGUCGGACGUCGGUAGAAUCCUUGAGGGGUCACUCCUGACACGAACUUCGGCUGGGAGGAGAUUUUAUACCCAACAUCAGUCCCCGUACUUUCGAGUUCAAGUUUUGAAUGAAGGAAGUACAGAAAAAUUUUUAAGCCGAAGUUGCCCCCUCG
rnacentral:lncRNA from 1 species